GAGCGGGCGAUGGGUCCGAGGUCGAGGGCCGCCCCCCCCCCGUGGUCAAGCGGCGACUGGGCCCACUUGGGGUGGAGACUGGGAGGCGGGAUCCAAGGUUGAGAGCCGGACACUCGAGACCGACCGGUGACUAAACCCACUGGGGCCGGGGACCGCGGGGCUGAAGUUGAGGAUCCGGGCAACAGGAUCCGAGUUCCGGGUCGAGGGCCGCGCAACCGUGUCUGACUGGGGGGACUAAACCUACCGUGGGUCGAAAUGGGGAAGUUUGGGAUACAAGAGGCGACAUUCCAUGUCGAGGUCCUUGUACACCGGACCAACUGGGGAUUUCGCCUAACGGAGUGGAGACCGUCGUGCUGGGACUUGGGAGGCGAGAUCUGAAAUCCGGCACCACACACAGGGGAUCGAGCCGGGACUGGGGCCCACUGGCAUGAGGUGGCACUGUGUGUGCCCAGCACUGGUCCCACGGGAUGGCGACGGCGGGUUUUGAUUUGGCGUCGGGGCAUUGGGGUUCGCAGACUCAGCAGGUAGGGCCUGGCCGGCGUGAUGAAGGCUACGAAGGGCGGCGUAAGACGGCCCGUACUCGGUAGGGCACUGGCGGCCGUCGGAGGACUUUCAUUUUAGAAAUGAAAGCCCUACGCUCACGUGGCCGAAGGCGCCCGCGAGUUGCACAAGACUGCCUUGUGGGAAGCUGGCUCCGCCCUCCUCCCACGCCCGCCGCCAGAGCCCCGCUCCCCGGCCCUGAGGCCUUUCUUCCUCCUCGGUGGCCGCGUGUGUGCUCCCAGCGACGGGGUGUGCGUCGCUUUCCUGUUCUAAAGGUUAAGAACAAAAAGAUGCACCUGGAGUUUCCUCGGAGCGCUCUGCAUUGUUAAGCUUCGGGUGGAAUUUGAGGGCCUUGAGCUGUAAGCCUUGCUACUUAAUAGAAAUCUGCCCUGCUCAACUCCGUGGACAAUUUGUUACCUACGGGAAGUGUCUCCCACUGAAGGCAUCCAAAGUUCUUUAAG